UACGUAGGGUGCGAGCGUUACUCGGAAUUACUGGGCAUAAAGCGUGCGCAGGCGGUUCGUUGUGUCGGUGGUGAAAGCCCCGGGCUUAACCUGGGAAUGGCCAUGGAAACUGGCGAACUGGAGUGUGGCAGAGGGGGGUGGAAUUCCGCGUGUAGCAGUGAAAUGCGUAGAGAUGCGGAGGAACACCGAUGGCGAAGGCAGCCCCCUGGGCUAGCACUGACGCUCAGGCACGAAAGCGUGGGGAGCAAACAGG
rnacentral:rRNA from 1 species